UACGUAGGGUGCGAGCGUUAAUCGGAAUUACUGGGCGUAAAGCGUGCGCAGGCGGUUUUGUAAGCCAGGGGUGAAAUCCCCGGGCUCAACCUGGGAAUGGCAUUUGGGACUGCAAGGCUGGAGUGCGGCAGAGGAGACUGGAAUUCCUGGUGUAGCAGUGAAAUGCGUAGAUAUCAGGAGGAAUACCGAUGGCGAAGGCAGCCCCCUGGGCCAAUACUGACGCUCAUGCACGAAAGCGUGGGGAGCAAACAGG
rnacentral:rRNA from 1 species